CCCUUAGAUGUUCUGGGCCGCACACGCGCUACACUGAAGGAGGCAGCGUGUACUCCUGGAUCGAAAGAUUUGGGUAACCCGCGAAUCUCCUUCGUGCUAGGGAUUGAGGUUUGCAAUUAUCCUUCAUGAACGAGGAAUUCCCAGUAAGUGCAAGUCAUAAGCUUGCGCUGACUACGUACCUGCCCUUUGUACACACCGCCCGUCGCUACUACCGAUUGAAUGAUUUAGUGAGGACUUCGGACUGGGACCGAUGCGGCUUUCGGGCUGCGUCGGUAUUCUGGAAAGAUGUCCAAACUGUNUNAUUUAGNGGAAGUAAAANUCGUANCA
rnacentral:rRNA from 1 species